GCCUACGGGGCGCAGCAGUAGGGAAUCUUCCACAAUGGGCGAAAGCCUGAUGGAGCAACGCCGCGUGGGUGAAGAAGGUCUUCGGAUCGUAAAACCCUGUUGUUAGAGAAGAAAGUGCGUGAGAGUAACUGUUCACGUUUCGACGGUAUCUAACCAGAAAACCACGGCUAACUACGUGCCAGCAGCCGCGGUAAUACGUAGGUGGCAAGCGUUAUCCGGAUUUAUUGGGCGUAAAGGGAACGCAGGCGGUCUUUUAAGUCUGAUGUGAAAGCCUUCGGCUUAACCGGAGUAGCGCAUUGGACACU
rnacentral:rRNA from 1 species